AUUGUCACUGUGACAAGGUACGAAAUAGGCUAUAACCGCGAAAAUCGAAGUUCGUCAAUUGCGGGCAUUUUUCUCUGUCACUCUAAUUACGUCUUAAUGAGAGUAAAAGAGAAAGAUCUCCGCAAUUUGCGAAUUUCGGUUUUCGCGGUAGGCCCCCUGUUGC